rnacentral:rRNA from 1 species
UACGAAGGGUGCAAGCGUUACUCGGAAUUACUGGGCGUAAAGCGUGCGUAGGUGGUUUUCUAAGUCCGUUGUGAAAGCCCUGGGCUCAACCUGGGAAUGGCAGUGGAUACUGGAAAGCUAGAGUGCGGUAGAGGGUAGUGGAAUUCCCGGUGUAGCAGUGAAAUGCGUAGAGAUCGGGAGGAACACCAGUGGCGAAGGCGGCUACCUGGACCAGCACUGACACUGAGGCACGAAAGCGUGGGGAGCAAACAGG